rnacentral:sRNA from 1 species
GACUCCCAGUUUUCUGGCUAAUGAAUCAGAUACCACAGAUACACAGUGAUAGCAUUUGUUUAGGUUAUAUUUUUUAAAACUUUGAGGUAGCCCUGUCAACAUACCAUGAAGCUCAAAAAUAAAUUGCUACCCAGGUAGCUUCUUUGAGUGUCACCUUGAGUGACAAACUGUAACAAGAUUGUGUCUGUCAUUGGGGCCUAUUAUAUAAUCACACUUGAUUUGUGGCCUCUAUUGUCUUUUCUAGCUUAGAGUUGACUUGAAUCUCUUGUUCAUCUGAAAUGGUUAAAACCAACUUUCUUCAUUAUCCUGGAGAAGGCUAAAGUUCUGAGGGCUUUCACUGUCUUAAGGAGCUAGUUAUAUGAGAAAGCUCUUGGCUUGGUCCAUGGUAUUUAGGAAGGAAUGCUGUUUGGAGAAGAACCUUUUUGGAGCCUUGCAUUUGAUUGUUGGUGAGGAGGAGACAACAGAGAUGUGUGGGGAAUAAAGUUGGGCUAUGGGGGAAGUAUUUGGAGUGAUAGAUAAGAAAGGACACGUUUUUUAAACCUCCUUUGAUGCUCAUCAUUUCCUUUUUGGUAAAAUGGGGGUAACAAAAGUAGUCUUCUCACAGGACUGCUGUGAGGAUUAAAUGGGAAAAUUAUAAGCAGAGAGUAGCAAAUAUUAUUAUUAUUGCAUUUAGGCUUAAUUAUUGUCCAAAGAAAAUACCAGCAUGAUGCAUGAGCAACUUUCAACUCCUUUAGCCAUUUUCUGAAAUAUAACAAUUAAAUGAUUUUUUUUUUUUAAAUCGAGGUCACAUUUUAAACUGUAGAACCCAUUGUGACCAACAGCCAUCCCAUUUGAGGGUAUCUGGCUGCUGCCAGUUGGCUUUAAGAUGUCAUACUGCCCUCAAAUGGAACUUUCAGGAUGUCUACAGGUCCCUUUACUAGUUGGUUUCAAUGAGCUUUUUUCAAAGUUUUUCUGGGUUGUAAACAGACGGAUAAACAUGAAAUUCCAAGCAACCUAGUUCAAGGGCCUCCUUCCUUUAGGUAAUGAAAGUUUGAUGAAUUGUCCUACUGUUUCUAAAUAUGUGGUUAAUCAUCCAAGAAAAAUUGUUCCCUUGGCCAGAGGCUGCAUUUGUGUCUAGGGCUUGGGUUAGUAUGGGUUAAAGAUAGCCAAGACUAUUGUUCUCAAGCACAGGCAACUAAGAUCUCUUACUGAUAAAUUUAUAUAUACAUUAUAUACCUGCAAACUUUAUUUUUUAUAUAUAACUAGAUUUUAUUUAUAGGUAAUCUUUAUAUCUUUUAUCUUAACCCAAUUUUUAAUUUAAAUGGAGAUGUUUAUUAAUUAAAAUUAGUUUCAGAGUUUCAGGGAUUUUUGAGGAAUUUUUUGUUUGGAGGCUGAUAUGUUACAGAAGAAAGGUUAUAUCCACUGACUGAUGUCUUUUAUAGAUCACUCCUACAGUGACAGCACAGAGAUGGUGAAAAUCAUUGUGCACACUGUGCAGAGUCAGGACCGUGUGCUCAAGGAGCUGUUUGGUCAUUUGAGGUAGGAAAAUUGCUUCAUUUCCUACUGAAAAACCAGGAUAUGUUUAUCUUGUUCCUCUCAAAGUACAAAAGUCCUCUUUGGUAAAGUAUACUUACCCAGGAGGAAUUCUGAAGUUACCUUGGGUAGCUUGGCCAUAGCUAUCUGCAUUUAUGUGUCCUUUUGUAUGCAUUACUUUGGAGAUAAGUCAUUAAAUCUGAUGCUGAUUGUGGUUCAUUUCCUCAGCUGGGUUUUGGGAGUAUGGUGUACAGUCUUGGGGCAUGUGUAAGUGUCUGACACUGAUUUAAUCUCUCCAGCAAGUUGUUGGGCUGUAAGCAGAAGAUUAUUGAUCUACUCCCUAAGGUGGAAGUGGCCCUCAGUAAUAUCAAAGAAGCUGACAAUACUGUCAUGUUCAUGCAGGGAAAAAGGCAGAAAGAAAUAUGGCAUCUCCUUAAAAUUGCCUGUGUAAGUAAUUAUUAAUGAAUUAUUUAAUGUGACAUUGAGUUGCUAUUAUUCCUUGCAAAGGGGAUUUUUAUCAACAUGAGGUGGGCCCUCUUGAAGACAUGUAUAUUUUGCAUUGGGAUGACAUCCAUGUUCCUUGCUUGGUGUCCAGACUAGCAAUUGAGAUGCAGGACUUAUUAUCAUCUCUCCUUUCCAAUUUCUCUGUUGUUAUACUCCUCUUAGCCCUUGACUACUGUGGUAUUCCAACCUAACUUGGGGAUAGAUGUACCUGCCUAGCUAAUGAAAUUGACCAUCUAUUCAACUGGGUUUUUUUUUUCUUUCUUCAACUAAAAUGGUAUAAGAUGAGUGGAUAUAUUUGGUUUUAGUCAAUGAAGAAAGGGUCCAAGGACAGGUUACUAAUGGUGUGUAAAGGUGGGAAUAGUUUUGUACUGAAAUACUCUGGUUGUGCAUAUAAGUAGUAACGGAAAUGUAAGUCUUAGGAAUAUGAUAAGAAAUUGUGUGAAUCAACAGAGAUGCUUCCCUGUAAUCUUUUGAUGUUUUUUUCUUUUCCUUCAGACACAGAGUUCUGCCCGGUCCCUUGUAGGAUCCAGUCUAGAAGGUGCAGUAACCCCUCAGACAUCAGCAUGGCUGCCCCCGACUUCAGCAGAACAUGAUCAUUCUCUGUCAUGUGUGGUAACUCCUCAAGAUGGGUGGGUUUACUUUGUAACAAUAGAUAGCUGUGUUUUCAUAGCAGUGGUAUAGGAAUGAGGCAGUAGUUGUUAAGGUAGUCUUCUGUGCCUUCAGACCAGGGUUGAGUCCUGACUAUCCCUUUGUAAUAAUCUUAGGCAACUUACUUGACUUUUUUGAUGUUCAUAUUUCCUCACCUGUAAAACAGGAAUGUCUCAUAGACUGCUGUGGAAAUUUGAUUAGACAAUGUAUAUAAAGUGCUUGGGAAAUAAAUGUUCAGCAAAUGUUGUGUAUUAUUAGCUCAAAUGUUGCUUAUUAUUAGCUAAGUCCAAGUUCUAAGUCCUUUCUUUUAUUGGCUUAUUACUUUCUUUUACUCAAACCUUACUCCUUCAUUAACAGUUUAUGAGAAAUUAUGCUAUCAUUUUGCAUUUAUCAUUUUGGGGAUCCUUGAUUACCCUUUUUGAGAUCUAUUUUAUAACUUUGUAUUUCUAAGAUUAGACUUUUUUCAGUGUUUUAAAUCAGUUUUGCAAGAACUCAAAUUCUAAGCCCUAUAUUUUAUUAAUUCCUACUCUUUUGCUAAAAGCUGAAUGACUAUCCAUUUCUGUUAUUUUCUCAGCUUAAGAUGUGCCGUAUCCAAAGCCAGUGGCUCUUUGCUAGCUUGUGUAUUGUCGCUUUUCUCACAACUCAUGGAGACCUCUACAGCACCAGCAUUUCCUGGAAGCUCUGCCCAUAAUUAGUUUUGCAGAAGUGCAGCCAUGUUACAUCACUGCUCAGGAGGUCAUGCAGUUGCACAUUCUGUACUCUACUUUUAUGAGAGAAAAGCACAUGGCAGGAAGGCAAGCUGAUAUCAGAGAGACUUCAGCACAAAUGAUAGAAGAAAAUUUGAACUGCCUUGGCCAUUUAAGCACUAUUAUUCAUGAGGCAAAUGAGGAACAGGGCAGUAGUAUGAUGAAUCUUGAUUGGAGUUGGUUAACAGAAUGAGUUGUCACUUGUUCACUGUUCCCAAACCUAUGGAAGUUGUUGCUAUACAUGUUGGAAAUGUGUUUUUCCCCCAUGAAACCAUUCUUCAGACAUCAGUCAAUGGAAGAAAUGGCUAUGAACAGAAACUACAUUUCUACUACGAUCAGAAGAACAUGAUUUUACAAGUAUAACAGUUUUGAGUAAUUCAAGCCUCUAAACAGACAGGAAUUUAGAAAAAGUCAAUGUACUUGUUUGAAUAUUUGUUUUAAUACCACAGCUAUUUAGAAGCAUCAUCAUGACACAUUUGCCUUCAGUCUUGGUAAAACAUUACUUAUUUAACUGAUUAAAAAUACCUUCUAUGUAUUAGUGUCAACUUUUAACUUUUGGGCGUAAGACCAAAUGUAGUUUUCUAUACAGAGAAGAAAACCUCAAGUAAUAGGCAUUUUAAGUAAAAGUCUACCUGUGUUUUUUUCUAAAAAGGCUGCUCACAAGUUCUAUUUCUUGAAGAAUAAAUUCUACCUCCUUGUGUUGCACUGAACAGGUGCUCUUCCUGGCAUCAUAAGGAGUUGGUGUAAUCAUUUUAAAUUCCACUGAAAAUUUAACAGUAUCCCCUUCUCACCGAAGGGAUUGUGUAUCUGUGCUUCUAAUAUUAGCUGGCUUUCAUAAAUCAUGUUGUUGUGUGUAUAUGUAUUUAAGAUGUACAUUUAAUAAUAUCAAAGAGAAGAUGCCUGUUAAUUUAUAAUGUAUUUGAAAAUUACAUGUUUUUUCAUUUGUAAAAAUGAGUCAUUUGUUUAAACAAUCUUUCGUGUCUUGUCACACAAAUUUAUAAAGGUCUGCACUCCUUUAUCUGUAAUUGUAAUUCCAAAAUCCAAAAAGCUCUGAAAACAAGGUUUCCAUAAGCUUGGUGACAAAAUUCAUUUGCUUGCAAUCUAAUCUGAACUGACCUUGAAUCUUUUUAUCCCAUUUAGUGUGAAUAUUCCUUUAUUUUGCUGCUUGAUGAUGAGAGGGAGGGCUGCUGCCACAGACUCUGGUGAGGGCUGGUUAAUGUAGUAUGGUAUAUGCACAAAAUUACUUUUCUAAAAUCUAAAAUUUCAUAAUUCUGAAACAUCUUGCCCCAAGGGUUUCAGAUAAAGGACUGUGGACCUCUAUCAUCUGUUAAGUAAUUUAGAAGAUAUUAUUUGUCUUAAAAAAUGUGAAAUGCUUUUAUAUUCUAAUAGUUUUUCACUUUGUGUAUUAAAUGGUUUUUAAAUUA